rnacentral:tRNA from 1 species
CCCCUCGUAGUUCAGUGGAUAGAACAAGGGACUCCUAAGCCCUAAACAGAGGUUCGAUUCCUCUCGGGGGGA